rnacentral:lncRNA from 1 species
GGAAGGGUUAAAGCUCCUGAAUCUUCUAGUUUCUGUGGAUGGUUCUUCUUCCGGGGUUUCACCCACUGCUCCUGAUUUUCUUGAUAGCCCAGAUCAAGUAACUUCCCUAGAUAGUACUUGAUUUUCUCAUCACAUUCAAAAGUUUGUGAAGAUGUUCUAGGAUUAAUGGGUGCCUCAUUGAGAAUCUUGCAGAGUGAUUCUUUAAUAUCUUCCUUCUCCUUUUCUCUUUGUGCUUUCUUCUCUUCGCCUUUCUUAUAUUCAGUAUUAAUUCUUUCCUCCUCUUCAUCCUCGCUGCUUUCGAUCUCAAUUGUUUCCUCCUUUGGCU